UACGUAGGCAGCAAGCGUUGUUCGGAGUUACUGGGCGUAAAGAGUAUGUAGGCGGUGUCCUAAGUUCGGUGUGAAAUCUCCCCGGCUCAACUGGGAGGGUGCGCCGAAGACUGGGAUGCUGGAGUCUCGGAGAGGAACGCGGAAUUCCUGGUGUAGCGGUGAAAUGCGUAGAUAUCAGGAGGAACACCAGUGGUGUAGACGGCGUUCUGGACGAGUACUGACGCUGAGAUACGAAAGCGUGGGGAGCAAACGGG
rnacentral:rRNA from 1 species